CUUUGGCAUCCAGAGUCCCACGCGACCUCUUGAAGCGUGGGCGGCAACCGGGUCAAGCGCGAUCACGGUGCCGAGGUCAGCCCUUCUGGGGUGAUGCGGCACGCAAGGCCAUGCCUUGUGCAGCAACAUCAGCGCUC
rnacentral:ncRNA from 10 species